GGCCAGACUCCUACGGGAGGCAGCAGUGGGGAAUAUUGCACAAUGGGGGAAACCCUGAUGCAGCGACGCCGCGUGAGUGAAGAAGUCUUUCGGUAUGUAAAGCUCUAUCAGCAGGGAAGAAAAUGACGGUACCUGACUAAGAAGCCCCGGCUAACUACGUGCCAGCAGCCGCGGUAAUACGUAGGGGGCAAGCGUUAUCCGGAUUUACUGGGUGUAAAGGGAGCGUAGACGGCAUGGCAAGUCAGAUGUGAAAGCCCGGGGCUCAACCCCGGGACUGCAUUUGAGACUGUCAGGCUGGAGUGCAGGAGAGGUAAGUGGAAUUCCUAGUGUAGCGGUGAAAUGCGUAGAUAUUAGGAGGAACACCAGUGGCGAAGGCGGCUUACUGGACUGUAACUGACGUUGAGGCUCGAAAGCGUGGGGAGCAAACAGGAUUAGAUACCCGAGUACU
rnacentral:rRNA from 1 species